rnacentral:rRNA from 1 species
AUUGAACGCUGGCGGCAUGCCUUACACAUGCAAGUCGAACGGCAGCACGGGGCAACCUGGUGGCGAGUGGCGAACGGGUGAGUAAUGCAUCGGAACGUACCUUUCAGUGGGGGAUAACGUAGCGAAAGUUACGCUAAUACCGCAUAUUCUGUGAGCAGGAAAGCAGGGGAUCGCAAGACCUUGCGCUGAUUGAGCGGCCGAUGUCAGAUUAGCUAGUUGGUGAGGUAAAGGCUCACCAAGGCGACGAUCUGUAGCGGGUCUGAGAGGAUGAUCCGCCACACUGGAACUGGGCCACGGUCCAGACUCCUACGGGAGGCAGCAGUGGGGAAUUUUGGACAAUGGGGGCAACCCUGAUCCAGCCAUGCCGCGUGAGUGAAGAAGGCCUUCGGGUUGUAAAGCUCUUUCGGCCGGGAAGAAAUCGUAUGGGUUAAUACCCUGUGCGGAUGACGGUACCAGCAUAAGAAGCACCGGCUAACUACGUGCCAGCAGCCGCCGUAAGAC